UAAUAAGUGUUUUAUGGCACUCUUUUAAAUCCUAUCCACCUUGUUGUACAAUGUCAGUCGAUCUUCUUCAUGGAGAUCGACCAAACAUCAACCUUUAUUUUUUAACUCUUUGUCUGAAAAAUAUUAUGAAUAAACAAUUCAAAAUA
rnacentral:misc_RNA from 1 species